UACGGGGGGGGCAAGCGUUGUUCGGAAUUAUUGGGCGUAAAGAGCUCGUAGGCGGUCUGUCGCGUCUGCUGUGAAAACUCAGGGCUUAACCCUGAGCUUGCAGUGGGUACGGGCAGACUAGAGUGCGGUAGGGGAGACUGGAAUUCCUGGUGUAGCGGUGAAAUGCGCAGACAUCAGGAGGAACACCGGUGGCGAAGGCGGGUCUCUGGGCCGUAACUGACGCUGAGGAGCGAAAGCAUGGGGAGCGAACAGG
rnacentral:rRNA from 1 species